rnacentral:rRNA from 1 species
GUUGAUUCCCGAUGGUACGUCUGGUUGAGGGUCAA